rnacentral:rRNA from 1 species
CACGGAGUUAGCCGGUGCUUAUUCAUACUGUACCUUCAGCUACCCUCACGAGGGUAGGUUUAUCCCAGUAUAAAAGAAGUUUACAAUCCAUAGAACCGUCGUCCUUCACGCGGGAUGGCUGGAUCAGGCUCGCACCCAUUGUCCAAUAUUCCUCACUGCUGCCUCCCGUAGGAGUCUGGUCCGUGUCUCAGUACCAGUGUGGGGGAUCACCCUCUCAGGCCCCCUAAAGAUCACUGACUUGGUGAGCCGUUACCUCACCAACUAUCUAAUCUUGCGCGUGCCCAUCUCUAUCCACCGGAGUUUUCAAUAUCUAAUGAUGCCAUCAGAUAUAUUAUGGGGUAUUAAUCUUCCUUUCGAAAGGCUAUCCCCCUGAUAAAGGCAGGUUGCACACGUGUUCCGCACCCGUACGCCGCUCUCUCUGUCCCGAAAGACAAAUACCGCUCGGCUUGCAUGUGUUAGGCCUCCCGCUAGCGUUCAUCCUGAGCCAGGAUCAAACU